rfam:Glycine soja cultivar W05 scaffold2018_42, whole genome shotgun sequence.
UUACAAAGAAACAUUGAUUGUCAUGUCAUGUUCUGAUUGAAUGAUGAAAAUGUAUUGUUGUUGUCAACGUCCAAUCAAAACGUGACACGUGAUAGUUAACGUUA